rnacentral:rRNA from 1 species
UACGGGGGGGGGCAAGCGUUGUUCGGAAUUACUGGGCGUAAAGGGCUCGUAGGCGGCCAACUAAGUCAGACGUGAAAUCCCUCAGCUUAACUGGGGAACUGCGUCUGAUACUGGAUGGCUUGGAUUUGGGAGAGGGAUGCGGAAUUCCAGGUGUAGCGGUGAAAUGCGUAGAUAUCGUAAGGAAGACCAGUGGCGAAGGCGGGAUCGUCUGGACAGUUCCGUGACGCUGAGGCACGAAGGCCAGGG